rnacentral:rRNA from 1 species
UGAGCCCGCGGCCCAUCAGUUAGUUGGCAGGGUAAUGGCCUACCAAGACGAAGACGGGUAGCUGGUCUGAGAGGAUGAUCAGCCACACUGGAACUGAGACACGGUCCAGACUCCUACGGGAGGCAGCAGUGGGGAAUCUUGCGCAAUGGGCGAAAGCCUGACGCAGCGAUGCCGCGUGAGUGAUGAAGGCCUUCGGGUUGUAAAGCUCUGUGGGGAGAGAAGAAUAAGUCGUCGUGAAUAACGCCGAUGAUGACGGUAUCUCCUUAGCAAGCACCGGCUAACUCUGUGCCAGCAGCCGCGGUAAUUA